rnacentral:rRNA from 1 species
GAUGAACGCUAGCGGCAGGCUUAAUACAUGCAAGUCGAGGGGCAGCAUGACUGUAGCAAUACAGUUGAUGGCGACCGGCAAACGGGUGCGGAACACGUACAGAACCUUCCUUCGAGCGGGGAAUAGCCCAGAGAAAUUUGGAUUAAUACCCCAUAGUACAUUAGAGUGGCAUCACUUUGAUGUUAAAGAUUUAUCACUUGAAGAUGGCUGUGCGGCUGAUUAGGUAGUUGGCGGGGUAACGGCCCACCAAGCCUGCGAUCAGUAACUGGUGUGAGAGCACGACCAGUCACACGGGCACUGAGACACGGGCCCGACUCCUACGGGAGGCAGCAGUAAGGAAUAUUGGUCAAUGGACGAAAGUCUGAACCAGCCAUGCCGCGUGGAGGAUGAAGGUCCUCUGGAUUGUAAACUUCUUUUAUAUGGGACGAAAAAGGGUUUUCUAACUCGUCUGACGGUACCAUAUGAAUAAGCACCGGCUAACUCCGUGCC